CUGCCUUCUACAGUGUUCCCUGGAGGGGUCAGUCUCUGUGGCUCUCACAGCUGUCCAGCGCUGGCUCUGUGACAGAAACGGCCAUGCUGGGAAGGGCCAAGCCUGAUCCCACCACUGGAGAGUCCCCAGGCAGGCCCCAGGGAAGGCCUCUGCUGCCACGCUCCCACCCCUCUGGCCUGUCCCCUCUCACCCUAGGACAAAGCUCCCAGCAGCAGGUGUGGCCCAGCCCUGGGCCACAGCCGGGGACAGAGAACCCUGCGGGCGCCUGCCUUUUGUCAUUGCUGGUGGAAGCCCACCUCCUUUGUGCAGGCUCCUUGGAAGACCACCAGGAACAGGGAUGGCCAGGGAGGCUGGCAGAGGGGGGCCGCCCAGCCUCUCCUACACCAUCCUCUGUCCCAGGCCACAGAGGCCUCCACCUCACACCUCCCAGAGCCUCCUGCCACCUGGGUCCUCAAAGCAAGUUUGGCAUGGUCACAGGCCCCGUCACAGGCCCUUCCACAGCAGCCUGGCUGCCCACCUGGUGGUGGGACAAAUUGGGGGGUCUCCUGGCUGUAGGAUCUUCAAUGUUACCCAUCCUGCAGGCUCCCCUGCUCCCGAAGGGUCAGACUCAAGGUGGGACCCCAGUGCACAAACCAGAUCUGUCCCUGGGUGGAGACCACCCUGCUUGGUGGCCACUAGCACACCUGCAUGUCCUGCUGGCCUCCUGUGCCUGGUGCUGCGGAAUGGCGCCCGCUGGCUGCAGGAGGGCUGUGGUCCCUCCGAAGAAUGAGCAGUCUGUGGGGCGUCAGGCAUCUCUGCAUGCAAUGACCGCUCAUAGUGAGCAGUUUGUACCAUUUCUCAAAACAGUUCCUGUGGGAAGGACCCCUGGUCCCCUGGCCUCCUAUAUUCCAGAAGAAUAGGCUUUGGAUUCUACCGUUUGGACGGGGUGUUGGCUAAGCUCCGCUUCAGAGAACAAACACGUCUCAGAUGGCUGGUUUGCAAAGGCUUCCACAGAAGAGAGCAGGCAGUGAGGCGGGACCCCCUUGGCCCACCUCACGCACCUGUUCACACAAGGCUGAGGAGCCCCAGGCCACUGGACCCUGACCGGGUGUUGGAAAAUCAUGCAAGAGAGAGGCAGCCCACCCCGAGCCGUCCCCGGAGCCAGGGCAGAGCAGCUGUGGGUAAGGAUGAGUAUGGUCACCAGGGGGUCCCCAUCUCCAGAGGGAGCAGAGGCUUGGGGGCCCAGCGGACAGGGCUUGGCAGCUGUGCCUCCAGAGAAGCCACCAUGAUGUUUUAGAAAUAAAAGGCCAAGUAAAUCCUGUUCCUUGGGUCUAGGGAAGGCACCUUAGGUACCUGCUCUUCAGGGUCACUGCCCUGAAGUGCUGGGGAUCAGUGACAGGAUUGCAAGGUGCCUUGGACUGAGCCGUGUCCCUGCAGAGUCACACGGUG
rnacentral:lncRNA from 1 species